rnacentral:rRNA from 1 species
UUUUUCGGAGAGUUUGAUCCUGGCUCAGGACGAACGCUGGCGGCGUGCCUAAUACAUGCAAGUCGAGCGGACAGAAGGGAGCUUGCUCCCGGAUGUUAGCGGCGGACGGGUGAGUAACACGUGGGUAACCUGCCUGUAAGACUGGGAUAACUCCGGGAAACCGGAGCUAAUACCGGAUAGUUCCUUGAACCGCAUGGUUCAAGGAUGAAAGACGGUUUCGGCUGUCACUUACAGAUGUACCCGCGGCGCAUUAGCUAGUUGGUGGGGUAAUGGCUCACCAA